GCCUACAUGCCUCCUCCGCCGUAUACAGCUCCGAUGAACCACGCUCCUCCGGACCCAGACCUGCCCAGAACCCCCGCAGCGGAGGCAAAAGCAGCUGAAGCUGCAGCGAGUUCCAGCGCGACUACGUUUGCUCCGACACGGGUCUACCUGCCCGAGGACAAGCCUCCACCCUACUCCCCACCUGAAGACAAGAAG